rnacentral:tRNA from 1 species
GUGGGGUGGUCGAGUGGUUAAAGGCAUCGGAUUGUAACUCCGACGACGAAAGUCUACGUAGGUUCGAAUCCUACCCCCACC